rnacentral:lncRNA from 1 species
CUGGUCUGCACGAGGCCCUGGCCAGCCUGCCGCCUGCCACACCACCUUGCUUAGGUGACAGGUCUGCCCAGUGUCAGAAGCUAAGCACUAAAGCUCAGCCGGGCUCACGGGGCAUCCACAUCCGAGCCCAGAGUCACCACCUCCAGGAAGGCUCCCCAGGCUCCCGGGGUGUGAGCCUUGUCUGCCCCAUGACCCGCUUGGAGCCCCUGAGCACAGCCUCCUCCCACCUGUGCUUGUAGGUGUGUGUGAGUGAGCGUGAGAGCGUGAGAAUGUGUCAGUGUGUCAGGGCGUGUGCCUCCUGAUCUCUACAGCCGAGGCGUGCUCCUGCUGGCCAGCAGCCAGGCCCUGAGCUUGCUCUGGACACACGGAGUGGACAAAACGCCCUGCUCGCUGCCCGAAGAGACUCUGCCUGCUUAGAGGUGCGCCCACACCCCAAGCAUGCUGGGGCCAGCAGCCCAGCGGGGUCCUGCCAGGCGGGGUCCGCCGGAGGAUCUGAGGCUGGCAAGACCAAGAUCAGGGUGUCAGUCUAUCAGGUUUCCAGGGCGAGUUCUCUUGGCUGUCGUGGUUUCCUCCAGUUCUCUGACUGCAUCCGUAAUGGUCAGCUUGAAGUCUUUCCCUGUUAAAGCCGGCAUCUCACUCUGUCACCUGCGUUUUAGGAGCAACAUGCGGGUAAACUCCACUCACAGCUGGCCAACUGCUGUUUUCAACAAUGCCCUGGGCAGAAGCUGCUUCUCAGACCAAUCCCAUUGCACCUGGCUCCUCUGAAGCAGAUACCAAGGUCAGUGGUGGGGAUUCCCCUGACCACAAGGGGGCCUUUGGCCCAGCCUCUCUCCAUGACGUCCCUCUCUCGAGAGCACCCUGGGGUGGGCCCUGCCACGCUAUGCAGGACCAGCCCGCUUCUCCCCUGGCAAAGACCUCUGAGCACUGCUCACUGCUGGCGGUGAGUGACAGCUGAGGGCUGCAAGCAGGGAGCAGUGGUCCAGGCCUCCGGGGCCAGCCCCUCAGCAUGGAACCGCCACACGGCUCACCCCGGGCGCCUCAGCAGUCUGCCUGCAUCCUCAUGGAGACGGCGGUGGAGAAUGUGACUCAUGGACAGUGCAGCGCCCCAGAAGCCCUUCUUGGGAGAGCUGUGCUCCCUGGAAGCAGGUCAGGGGCUGUCUGACCGCCCUUGGGCCUCCAGAUGGCUCGAGGCACAGCACACAGCAGGUGUCAGGAUGGCUUCGCCCUGUGCUAGAAGCGCACUUAGGCACCAAGGAAGCCCACUGCAGGCGUCCUUGGGGGGGGGGGCCGCC